GUCCCUGUAGCGCAGCGGAUAGCGCGUUGGACUUCUAAUCCAAAGGCCGUGGGUUCGAUCCCCACCAGGGAUG
rnacentral:tRNA from 1 species